CAAAUUAAAGCUUUUAUAGCAUUUUAGUUACAUUAAAAGGAGUAUUGUUAAAUAUAAUUUGA
rnacentral:tRNA from 1 species